rnacentral:rRNA from 1 species
UGGCGAACGGGUGAGUAACACGUGAGUAACCUGCCCUUAACUCUGGGAUAAGCCUGGGAAACUGGGUCUAAUACCGGAUAGGAGCGUCCACCGCAUGGUGGGUGUUGGAAAGAUUUAUCGGUUUUGGAUGGACUCGCGGCCUAUCAGCUUGUUGGUGAGGUAAUGGCUCACCAAGGCGACGACGGGUAGCCGGCCUGAGAGGGUGACCGGCCACACUGGGACUGAGACACGGCCCAGACUCC